ACCUACACACAGACAGUCACACAACUAACUGCAAGAUACGUGAUUUAUUGACCAGGUAGAAGAAAGUGUUAUUCAUGGUAGAUGUCUCCCAGGUAUGGCAUAGGAGGUUGGAAAUUUGGAGAAAACCUUUGAUUCUUGGUGAGUUGAUGAGUCCUCUCUAGACACGUUGAGAAGAUGUUGAAGAUUCAGAGAUAAUGCCUUCCUGGAGGACAGUGCUGGAAAUCAGGUCA